UACGGGGGGGGCAAGCGUUGUUCGGAAUUACUGGGCGUAAAGGGUUUGUAGGUGGCUUGUUAAGUCAGACGUGAAAUCCCUCAGCUUAACUGGGGAACUGCGUCUGGUACUGGCGAGCUUGAGUGCAGGAGAGGAACGCGGAAUUCCAGGUGUAGCGGUGAAAUGCGUAGAUAUCUGGAGGAACACCGGUGGCGAAGGCGGCGUUCUGGACUGCAACUGACACUGAGAAACGAAAGCCAGGGUAGCAAACGGG
rnacentral:rRNA from 1 species